UACGAACGCUGGCGGCGUGCUUAACACAUGCAAGUCGAGCGGUAAGGCCCUUUCGGGGGUACACGAGCGGCGAACGGGUGAGUAACACGUGGGUGACCUGCCCUCAGCUCUGGGAUAAGCCUGGGAAACUGGGUCUAAUACCGGAUAUGACUCCAUGACGCAUGUUGUGGGGUGGAAAGCCUUGUGCGGCUGAGGAUGGGCCCGCGGCCUAUCAGCUUGUUGGUGGGGGAUGGCCUACCAAGGCGACGACGGGUAGCCGGCCUGAGAGGGCGACCGGCCACACUGGGACUGAGACACGGCCCAGACUCCUACGGGAGGCAGCAGUGGGGAAUCUUGCGCAAUGGGCGAAAGCCUGACGCAGCGACGCCGCGUGA
rnacentral:rRNA from 1 species